rnacentral:tRNA from 1 species
GGAUAGCUCAGUCGGUUAGAGUGCUGUGCUGAUAACACCAAGGCUGCAGGUUCAAUCCCUGUAUGGGACA